rnacentral:rRNA from 1 species
AUUGAACGCUGGCGGCAUGCCUUACACAUGCAAGUCGAACGGCAGCACGGGAGCAAUCCUGGUGGCGAGUGGCGAACGGGUGAGUAAUACAUCGGAACGUGCCCAAUCGUGGGGGAUAACGCAGCGAAAGCUGUGCUAAUACCGCAUACGAUCUACGGAUGAAAGCAGGGGACCGCAAGGCCUUGCGCGAAUGGAACGGCCGAUGGCAGAUUAGGUAGUUGGUGGGGUAAAGGCUCACCAAGCCAACGAUCUGUAGCUGGUCUGAGAGGACGACCAGCCACACUGGGACUGAGACACGGCCCAGACUCCUACGGGAGGCAGCAGUGGGGAAUUUUGGACAAUGGGCGCAAGCCUGAUCCAGCCAUGCCGCGUGCAGGAUGAAGGCCUUCGGGUUGUAAACUGCUUUUGUACGGAACGAAACGGCCUUUUCUAAUAAAGAGGGCUAAUGACGGUACCGUAAGAAUAAGCACCGGCUAACUACGUG